rnacentral:tRNA from 1 species
GGGGGUAUAGCUCAAGUGGUAGAGCGCAUGCUUAGCAAGCACUACUAGGUCCUGGGUUCAAUCCCCACUACCUCCA